rnacentral:rRNA from 1 species
UGGGGAAUUUUGGACAAUGGGCGAAAGCCUGAUCCAGCAAUGCCGCGUGUGUGAAGAAGGCCUUCGGGUUGUAAAGCACUUUUGUCCGGAAAGAAAUGGCUCUGGUUAAUACCUGGGGUCGAUGACGGUACCGGAAGAAUAAGGACCGGCUAACUACGUGCCAGCAGCCGCGGUAAUACGUAGGGUCCAAGCGUUAAUCGGAAUUACUGGGCGUAAAGCGUGCGCAGGCGGUUGUGCAAGACCGAUGUGAAAUCCCCGAGCUUAACUUGGGAAUUGCAGUGGUGACUGGACGGCUAGAGUGUGUGAGAGGGGGGUAGAAUUCCACGUGUAGCAGUGAAAUGCGUAGAGAUGUGGAGGAAUACCGAUGGCGAAGGCAGCCCUCUGGGAUAACACUGACGCUCAUGCACGAAAGCGUGGGGAGCAAACAGG